rnacentral:lncRNA from 1 species
UGGCGGUAGAAUCUCGACCAAAAGAAAGUUACUGCCAAAAAGAGACCAAUUUCUUGACCAAAAGUAUAAUCCAUUUUCAACUAUUUGUUUAUAUAAUCCACAGAUAAAGCGUCACAAAUAAACACCCAUGCAAUGAUUAUCUUUCAAUCUUAGCCGCUGCUCACUUCGAAAAUUCAUUGAACAUCCACAUAUGACAAAAACCAUCGAUUUUUGCAAUGCAAAGUGAGUAAGUCUUGUUUUGUGGCAUCUCUGAUGAUUCUUUAAUCUACCUUUCAUUAUGCUUUAUUGAGAGCCCGUGAGAGGCAGUUCAUUGAAAUAAUAUAAUAAAUAAAGAGUAGUGGAUCUCCCUGUUUAAAGCCUAUCUUUUUUCUUUGAAGUAACCAUAUAAGUAGAGCCAUUGAAAAACCAACUGAGAAUGAGAAUGAAGUAGUACAAACACAAGCCUCUAUUCAACGCAGAUAAGUUUCUGGAGUUUGAAGCCCCCUUGAGCAUUGGAAUAUAAAUAUUCCCAUCUAAUGGUAACUAAAUCUUUGGCAAUGUCUACCUUGAUGGUGAUCUUUUUGUACCUCCCAGUUUAUGAUUACAUUGUACAAUCUUACAAGCAAGGAGAGUAUUCUUUAUUAAUAGCUUACUUCUUACAAAUGUUGUUUGGUUAGGCAAUAUGACUUGUGGCAGAAUGACCUUUAACCUCUUCGUCAUAAUUUUUGAAUUGAUCUUAUAAAAUAGUGUUACAGCAGGAGAUUGAUAUGUUGUAAGAAUAGUAUAGCUCUUGGAUUUUUAGGUGCCAGUGUGAAGAUAGUUUCAUUUGUUAAUCUAAUGUGACAAAGAAUUUUUCAAUUCCUGCCACUAACUCAUAUCCUUCUUUUCCAUGCUGAUUUGAAGAAAGCAACACUGAAGCCAUCAAGGCCCGGAAACUUAUUUGGAUUAAACUUCAUAAUGACUUUUGUAACUAUUGCAAAUAGUAGUUUGAUUGUGGAUAUUACAUUUGAAUGGUCUCGAAACCAAUGGAGAGUAGUAGAAAUGUGGGACAGAAAAGGAGCAAGGUUAUGUUGAAAGUGGGAGGUAGACUAACCAUUAAUGGACUUGGAGGAGCUUCUAGCUGUUGCAACUAUGUGAAACUAGUUGGUACGUACGUAAUUUGAUCAUCUUUACUUAGCAAAUGUAUUCUAUACAAUUGACUAAAUUUUUAAAAAAAUUCAAUUUA